GUCGAGCGGAAGGCCCUUCGGGGUACUCGAGCGGCGAACGGGUGAGUAACACGUGAGUAACCUGCCCUAGGCUUUGGGAUAACCCCGGGAAACCGGGGCUAAUACCGAAUAUGACCUCUGGUCGCAUGACUGGUGGUGGAAAGUUUUUCGGCCUGGGAUGGGCUCGCGGCCUAUCAGCUUGUUGGUGGGGUGAUGGCCUACCAAGGCGACGACGGGUAGCCGGCCUGAGAGGGCGACCGGCCACACUGGGAUUGAGACACGGCCCAGAUUCUUACGGGAGGCAGCAGUGGGGAAUAUUGCACAAUGGGCGGAAGCCUGAUGCAGCGACGCCGCGUGAGGGAUGACGGCCUUCGGGUUGUAAACCUCUUUCAGCAGGGACGAAGCGUAAGUGACGGUACCUGCAGAAGAAGCGCCGGCCAACUACGUGCCAGCAGCCGCGGUAAGACGUAGGGCGCGAGCGUUGUCCGGAUUUAUUGGGCGUAAAGAGCUCGUAGGCGGCUUGUCGCGUCGACUGUGAAAACCCGCGGCUCAACCGCGGGCCUGCAGUCGAUACGGGCAGGCUAGAGUUCGGUAGGGGAGACUGGAAUUCCUGGUGUAGCGGUGAAAUGCGCAGAUAUCAGGAGGAACACCGGUGGCGAAGGCGGGUCUCUGGGCCGAUACUGACGCUGAGGAGCGAAAGCGUGGGGAGCGAACAGGAUUAGAUACCCUGGUAGUCCACGCUGUAAACGUUGGGCGCUAGGUGUGGGGGGCCUCUCCGGUUCCCUGUGCCGCAGCUAACGCAUUAAGCGCCCCGCCUGGGGAGUACGGCCGCAAGGCUAAAACUCAAAGGAAUUGACGGGGGCCCGCACAAGCGGCGGAGCAUGCGGAUUAAUUCGAUGCAACGCGAAGAACCUUACCUGGGUUUGACAUCGCCGGAAAUCCUCCAGAGAUGGGGGGUCCUUCGGGGCCGGUGACAGGUGGUGCAUGGCUGUCGUCAGCUCGUGUCGUGAGAUGUUGGGUUAAGUCCCGCAACGAGCGCAACCCUCGUUCGAUGUUGCCAGCGCGUUAUGGCGGGGACUCAUCGAAGACUGCCGGGGUCAACUCGGAGGAAGGUGGGGAUGACGUCAAGUCAUCAUGCCCCUUAUGUCCAGGGCUUCACGCAUGCUACAAUGGCCGGUACAAUGGGCUGCGAUACCGUGAGGUGGAGCGAAUCCCAAAAAGCCGGUCUCAGUUCGGAUCGGGGUCUGCAACUCGACCCCGUGAAGUCGGAGUCGCUAGUAAUCGCAGAUCAGCAACGCUGCGGUGAAUACGUUCCCGGGCCUUGUACACACCGCCCGUCACGUCACGAAAGUCGGCAACACCCGAAGCCGGUGGCCCAACCCC
rnacentral:rRNA from 1 species